rnacentral:lncRNA from 1 species
UCUAAGCAGAUUGAAUGACAAGGAAAGAAGAAAUGAUGGAGAUUGAAGGAAAAUAUUGCUUACACAAUGCGCUGAGGAUUCCAGAGGAUAGAAUAGGUGUGAAAGUCAGCAGUGGGGUCAAACCAGAGGUGAAAUUGUUGUUCUUUGUCACCUUUGCCAUUUGUGAAUACAUUGGUAUGCAGAGUGUAAGGGUCUGAGGAUUCCAGAGGAUAGAAUAGGUGCUGAGGAUUCCAGAGGAUAGAAUAGGUGUGAAAGUCAGCAGUGGGGUCAAACCAGAGGUGAAAUUGUUGUUCUUUGUCACCUUUGCCAUUUGUGAAUACAUUGGUAUGCAGAGUGUAAGGGUCACCACUUAAAUUCCCCAAGAACUCGAAGUCUAUCUCAUCCCAUGUUGAUCCUGGCGAUUUUAACUGCGUGAACAAAAAGUCAAAGGUCUAUAUGUCAGAUACAUGAUGAUCAAACAUGCAUAUUGUUUAUUCAUAUAAAGGGUGAUGAUCAAACAUGCAUAUUGUUUAUUCAUAUAAAGGCAGGAACUUACAUAAUAAGCAGUGACAGUGCCGGCAGAGUUGCCAGGGACUAGUUUGAGUUGCAUAUCAAUCUUGCCGAAUAGAUACUCAUUCUUGGACUGGAAGCCGGAGCCAGAGGCUUUAUCAAGGGAAAGAGUAAGAAGCUGGCCGUUGUUGAGUAUAUUAGCACGCCCGUCUCCCCAAGUGAUAUCAAAAUCUUGGUGGAAGUUACCAGCAGAGGUAACCAUCAAAGAGCCAAGAAGCAGCAGCGACAGAUGCAAUACUGAAGCCAUGGAAGCUUUCGUCUGAGCAACAACAAGAUAGAAGAAAUUGAGUUGGAGAGAAGUUUGAAAUUUUUUAAAGUGAAGCGAUGAGUGUGUUUAGGACCUUACCAGGGUUUGGUAUUUAUAGCUUGAUUGAGCUGGUGAAGGUGAGUAUAACGAAAGCAGAGGAAAGUAAUGGGAAGCUCCAGUUAGUUCAGCUUCAGCUGUGGCCAGUUGUUUGCGUAAAAUAGCGUGAUGAAAUAAAAACAGCUGUCCGAAUCGCACUAACAGAACACGCUACAACAGGGACUUUUUUUAAUUACAAUACGCGGCUUUGCAUAUUUUUGAGACUCAAGUACUUAUUCUGUACUGCUGUUAUGUUCCCAUCACCGGCUGACUCUUAUUAGCUUUUUUUUUUUCCAGCCACCACCAGUCAAAACACAAAAAAGAAAAUGUAGAAUUCACUGGGUACUCUUCUCUCUCGAGAUUUUCAUUUUUUUUUUUUUUGCAUUUUAUGCUCAAAAGAAAAAGAAAAAGAAAAAAUUGCUCAAUGACCUACUUAAUUAACAGAUUUUUUCGAUAACUAUAUUUAUUAUCAGGAAAUCAUUUAAUUCAAAAGCUUAAGACGUUAAACAGGAGUCCAGAAAAUAGCAUUAAAGUGUUAAAAGACCUGCCCAUGUGAAACAUGGAUCCAGUUUGAAGGUCAUGUCGUUCCAAAAGCGGAGAUAGGAGAUUAAAUUAGAGGUUCUUGAACAUACAAGAAUUGAAACAUAUACGUGUGUUAUUCGCAAAAAAUUGAGCACGCUGAGAUUUGAACAAGAAACCUUUGCUAUGUAAAAACGAAAUUGGCUUGACCCAAGAAAAUUAAAGACAAGUCUUUACUGGAGUCCCUAACACUAAUCAUGGAUCUAACAUCUAAGAAAUAUGUAUCCCAAGAUACCGAUACACAUGCUUCCUAGUAACAUGAAACUGUGAAUUUGUUUCCAAAUUUUAGGUUAAUUGAUAACACAUGCUUCCUGGUGGGUUCGUGUGUAAUAAAACACAUAUAGAACUUGAAGAUAUGCUUAUUAUUAUUAUUAUUAUUAAGGAAUUUAUAGAUAUUGGUAUUUAAAUCGAACGGACUGAAGAUUUUGCUGUGUACAAAAGCCCUGUUUCCUGUUUUGUAUAUUACCACUUAUACUAGAGAAUGUUUAAUUUGUUUAUCUGGAAAGGCGGUGGUGUCCUGGCGGGGUUGACUCGCCUUGAAAAAUCAACACUUGAGAGCUGGCUCGCAGCUUGUCCCCCUCUCAUUAUUAAUUAACACGUACAACAAUAACAGUAUGCAUCACUCUUCCUCAUCGACUUGUGCAAGUUCACUCAGUUAUUUUUUUAGUUUAUUUCUGCCAUUUUACCCUUUUACUGCCUUAUCUAAAUACUAAUCAAUGGCCAAAAUUUCUCCUCGAUUGACACAAAUACGGUAACGCUCACACGCAGUAUAUUUUCUUCUCAUUCUGGUGGAGACUCAUUUGCUCUUAUCUUCAUGCUUCCUCGAUAAUUCGUCAUAUUCCAAUCUAGGGUCUAAAAGCUUUAUUAAUGAGUCAUCAUGUCAAUACCUUUAAUUAGGCUUAUAACUAUAUGCUAAAGCUUACGAAGAAUAACAACAAAGAAGAACAAAAUCUUUUGAAAUAGUAAUAUUAUGUUUACUUAGUUAGCAUACUUAAUUUGUAUACCACGCAAGUACGCAUAACAUUAUCCUUUUUUAAAUUCAUUAACCAGUGUUACAUAUGGUAAAAAUUGGACUAAUAUGCCAUUUUAUUGAUUACAGAGAAACAAAGAAUCUGACUCCAGAAUCUACAUGAAUUGAAUAACCAUUGAAUGAUUACACGAAAGAAUAAAAUAAUUUUUAAGCGUCUUGUUGAUUAUUUUCUCUAGGAGGUUCUGCAUUCUGCAGGAAGGCCCUGAGGAAAUCUCUUUGUAUCAGCGCAGUAAUUGUAAAUCAUGUAAUUCUUCUGCACCCAUUUCAGCCUACUUUGAUUUGUUGAAUCUAGCUCUUGUGAGAACCAAGCACCGUUGCUGGAUGUAGAGGAAGCAGAAUUUGAAGCGCAAGAAGAUUUUCCAUUAGACCAAACACAAGCUUCAGCAUUAAAGUUUCUGUAGGAAGCAGUGAAAGGAGCAUGUGUCCAAUCUGUCUUCACGAGGCCACCUCUUGUGGCCCAGUCAUCAGCAUUCCAGAGAGAAGAGUAUAUUCUCAUUGGCUGAUUCUUUGGGAACGGAACGCCAAUUGACUCUGAGUUCUUAAAUUCUCUUAUGGGCGUGCCAUCAACAGAGAAGCUGAAAAUUAAGUAAACAUUGAUAAGUCUAAGCAGAUUGAAUGACAAGGAAAAAAAACUAAUGAUGGAGAUUGAAGGAAAAUAUUACUUACACAAUGCGCUGAGGAUUCCAGAGGAUAGAAUAGGUGUGAAAGUCAGCAGCGGGGUCAAACCAGAGGUGAAAUUGUUGCUCUCUGUCACCUUUGCCAUUUGUAAAGACAUUGGUAUGAAGAGUGUAAGGGUCACCACUUAAAUUUCCCAAGAAUUCAAAGUCUAUCUCAUCCCAUGUUGAUCCCGGUGAUUUUAGCUGCAUUAAAAAAAAAAAAAAACAGAUAUUUAUAUGUAUCAUCACAUAUGAUUAUUCAACUACGACCCAGUUUGCAUGCAUAAUACUUGCGUAUGAUUAAGUUGUAUUAAAAGAAGGAACUUACGUAAUAAGCAGUGACAGUGCCAGCAGAGUUGCCUGGGACAAGCUUGAGCUGCAUGUCAAUCUUGCCGUAUAGAUACUCAUUCUUGGACUGGAAUCCUGAGCCAGAAGCUUUAUCGAGGGAAAGAGUAAGAAGGUCGCCAUUGUUGAGCAUCUUGGCACGGCCAUCUCCCCAGGUGAUGUCAAAAUCUUUGUAGAAGUUACCAGCAGAUGCAACCAUCAAAGAGCCAAGCACAAGAAACAAAUGCAACGUUGAAGCCAUUGACAUAUGCUUGAGCAAACGAGGUACAAGUAGUGUUUGAAUUAACUGAGAGAAGUUUGUAAUUCGAAAGUGGAGCGAUGAAUGUGUUUAAGACCAUUGUGUUGUAUUUAUAGCCGGUGAAGAUGGGAAAUGUAAAAUGCAGAGGAAAGUGAAGGGAAAGGUCCAGUGAGCUCGGCUGUGGACAGUUGUUGGCUUGAAAAAAGUAUAAUAAAAUAGCUGUGCAUAUCGCACUAACAAGCAUUAUCCGACCAGCCAUAUUUUAUUAUAGCACGCGGUUUUUGCAUUAUUUUUGGGACCAAACGACUUCCGUUUAGUUUAGUAUGUGCCGCUGUCGUGGUCCCACUACCAGCUGACUCUUAUUAGAUUUUCCCACCGCCACUACUAAAGACAGUUGAAUUCACAUGAUGCGACCCUCUCUUCAGAUUUUCAGCUUUUUUUAUUAAUUGAUUCUCAAGGCAAGAGCAAAUGAAUAAUAUUAUAAUAAUACUAAGAAUAACAUAGAACUUAUUAAGAAAUUCCAGAAUUGAAAAUUCUCCUCACUAGCAAUUCAGUGUUCACCCAAGUGACAAUUAUGUUAUAUUUAUUCUGUUUGAAUUCUUAAUUUAGUAACUCCAAAAUUAAUCUUUUAUUGUCAUGUAUAUAAUAUUUAUUUUAUUAUUAAUUAUUUGUUAUCAACCUAAUUAAUAAAUGAUACAUAAAAUGUAAUAUUAAGGAGGAGACAAACUAAAUAUCCGAAUUGGGUUGGCAAUAACCGCAUGACAUUACUCAAAUUUUAUGUUACUGGCGUUGUCUAACACGCGAGACGGUGGUGGGUUUCGCUUGCCAUUCACUUGGACCUAACUGUAUGUAAAAUGAAUGUUUGUUUUGAAAAGGGAACUAGGCGGCGCCUUGUCUUCCCUUUCUUUAUAAACAAUUAACAAAUCAAGCAAAACCGCGUCUGGAAAACUUGGUCUGCGCCAUUUUAAUGAACAGUCAUUUGCUACAUUACUUUGCCAACUAUUACCAAAACGUACUGAAGUUUCCCGUGUAUCUUCUCUCCGUUCAACUCUGCCUAAACUUAUAGGAUAAAAACACCAACUAAGCACAACCUUUUCAUCAUUUCAGAUUCUUUUACAUUUCUAAUACUAUUCACAUGCAAAACAUUCCAGUGGCUUGCUUUCUAGUUUCUUCAUAUAUUCCGUCCAUGUUGAUGGUCAGUUUUGUGAUUUUCUCUCUAAUUGUAGCUUCUUCUGCUAACUUCUACCAAGAUUUUGAUAAUACUCGGGGAGAUAGACUUUGAAUUCUUGGGCAAUUUAAGUGGUGACCCUUACACUCUGCACACCAAUGUAUUCACAAAUGGCAAAGGUGACAGAGAGCAACAAUUUCACCUCUGGUUUGACCUUACUGCCGAUUUUCAUACCUAUUCCAUCCUCUGGAAUCCUCAGCGCAUUGUGUAAGUACUGUUUUUUUCCCUGUCGUUAAUUUGCUUAGACUUAUAACUUUUUUCAUUGUAAUUUCCAGCUUCUCUGUUGAUGGCACCCCCAUAAGAGAAUUCAAGAACUCAGAAUCAAUUGGAGUGCCAUUUCUAAAGAAUCAACCAAUGAGGAUGUACUCUUCUCUACGGAAUGCUGAUGACUAGGCUACAAGAGGUGGCCUUAUCAAGACACAAUGGACACAUGCUCCUUUCGCCGCUUCUUAUAGAAACUUCAAUGCUGAUGCAUGUGUCUCGUCUAAUGGAAUAUCUUCUUGUGCUUCAAGUUCACCUUCCUCUCCAUAUAUCCAACGGCUGCUCCUGGUUCUCACAAGAGCUUGAUUCAACAAGUUAAGAAAGGCUGAAAUGGGUACAAAAGACAUACAUGAUUUACAACUACUGCACCGACGCAAAGAGAUUUCCUCAAGGCCUUCCUUUGAAAAGAAAAAAUCUCCUAAAGAAGUGAUUAAAUCAAACAGAUAAAUCAGUGUAAACUUAUUACAUUCAAUUAUAUGCUCUCUGUAGAGCUAUUCUUUGCAGUCUUGGUCAUCAAUAAAAAGACAGAUUUGUCAUUCUUUAUAUCAGAAGUGUUAUAAUACGAAUUUUAUUGGAAAGAUGCAGAUGUGAUUUAUUAUAAAUUCAAUAUACUUAAUGUAAAAAGACUUAAAAGAUUGAGCUUUACUCAUCUAAAGUUCUCACAGACCAUAUCAACGUGAUCCCUUUCUAGCAUAUUCGCAUCUUAAUUCAUAUGAUAACUGAUACAACAUCAAUACUAUUAUUAUAACUUUAUUUUGAUAUUACAACAUAAAGUUUGAGCAUGAAAUAAACUACAUUAUUUACUUUAACUGUAGAAAUCAAAAUUAGAAUAAAUUGUAUUAUCAUUGAUGUGUUUAGUUUGUCUUGAAAUCUUAGUCAUAAUAAAUUAGACUGUCAUAAAUUACUAAAAAGUUUUUAAUUAAUUAUUAUCAUAAUUAUUAUUUUAUAUUUUAAUUAAUGUAAUUAUUGUUAUUCAGAAAUUAUUAUUAUUAAUUAUUGUUAAUAAUAAUAAUAAUAUCAUUAACAUGAAUAUAUUAAUUAUAAUAUUUUUUUAUCAAUAAUAAUGAUAAUAAUACAUUUGAAAAUCAUAAUAACAAUAAUAAUAAUCAAAAUCAUCAUCAUCAACGACAACAACAAAUCAAAAUCGGAUUUGGAUCAUAAUAUCAUCGUCGUUGUCGACAUCAUCAUCGGUGAUGGUUGUUGUUGCUAGAUCGUUGUUGCUAUUGCUCCUGCUCAACGGUCAGCGACGACCAAUGACGUUGAUUUUUGCAGUAACAGUUUGGUGAAGACGAUGAAAAUCGGUGAGGCUUCAAUUUACAGCGACUGUUUGCUGUGGUUUUUUUUUCUAUUUAAAUUUUUUUAAUUGAAUGAAGGUGUUGAUGCUGAAAUCUGCUCGCCUCUUGACCGACCAGAUUCUUUCACCAACGUUUGUGUUAUCUACUGUUGCUCGUUCACUGGGAUUGGAAUCGUCCUCCUUUCUCUCAAUAGACCUGCACUCACUAAAAAUGGAUCAGAGACGCCGGUGGUUUUGCCGGCGUAAACCCUCCGAUGCCUAAGUUAGCACAAGGUGUUUACGGGAAAACAGUGUAAUUUGGAUUCCAGGAGCUUAUUAAAAAUUUGUAAGGAAAUGGCCUAGUUGCAAUUUGGCAGCGUUUUCCCUCUCUCUUUUUUUUUUUCCCCUUUCUUCACCGAUUUCUUCUUCUUUUAUAGCCGCUGUCCCCACGUUUCCGUUUGCCAUUCAUCCCACCUUUUUCGGGUAGUGGCAGCCCCUCAUGGGAUUUUAACUGCUACAUUGUGGGCAAACGUGGGAUCUCGCAUCUCCCACAACGGUUCUGGGAAAAGCGCAACUACCGCGAUUCUGUGGGAUCGUGUUUCCGCUUUUUGAGGGACGGGUACCGACUCGGUAUACGACUCUGGUCGGUAUUCGUCUCUGAUCAGCUCAUGUUACCCCCUGUUCUGCUCGUACCAUUUGGCUGAGGUGAUUCAUGCCGGGGUGGAAAUAGUAGCAUGGCCGACCUGGUGCUUUUAUUUGCUUAACACCAGUCCCCCAGUUUUUGGUCUUGUGAGUGAAAUGAGUCAAGAGUAGAAACUGAUAGUCAAAUCUUACCAAUCCAGGGGCUUCUCCUCUGAUCUUUCGUCUACCGGGAUGGACCUGAGGUAUCAUUUUUCUUCAGGGGAGAUUUUGACCUGAGCAUGGGCCUAAAUGAGUAUGUCCAUUGCGUAUCUGGGCUUGCAUCUAGCCUGGCCUCUUAUAACGAUUGGUGACGUGGCAUCUCCCGACUCUUCGUAUUUGAAAUUUGAAACGACGGGCUAUCUGUCCUUGAUGUACGGUGAGUGAGCUGGCGUCUCUAUCACUUAAAUGCUUUCAUUUCCCCUUUUUCGUUUCAAAUCCCUAGACUUAUAUCUGCAUCGCUUUGUUAUUCAUCUCUUCAUCGUUAACUAACUCCCUCUCUGAACUUUGCUUACACUUCUCGUGUCUGGAGUAUCCACUCGCUGAAUUUUUUCUCUAUCACGGUCGCGCUAUCAGUGCCAGUUCAAUCCAGGUAUUGCCUUUAACUUCUCCUCUGGUUAUUGUUGAUUGGGUUCUGUGUUGCCCUUUUUGUGUCCAUAUACUCGAGUUUUCUUUGUUUUCUUUUGAGGUUCUGAUAUGUCAAACCGAAAAAGAAAGUUAAUUGUUGAUGAGGAUGAUGAAGAAUCAGGGGAUUCAGGCCUCAACGUGUCAAUACCCACCUAUUUCUUAGGUCCCUCCAGUAAUGUAGGUCCUUCCCAUGGCAGGGAUACCCUUGAGUACCCACGCCCCUUGGUUGUCUCUUCCUUUCCCGAACUAGAGCUUGUAGGGAAUAGAGGUGGACUUGCGUCGGGAUCUGGUGAGAACCACAGCUUUGGUGGGGUUGGGAUCCGUGAAGGAGUUGGCGAUGGUGAGGGGAGCAGUUCCGGACCGAGCGGUCUUGCUAAGAAAAGGAAUAUUGGCCAUAGGGUGGAGGCUGAUUUCUACCCUAUUGAUUACAUAGCCUGUGCCACCACCCAAACUGACUUAUUCAAGCUUAGGAACCUCUACGACAUUCCUGAGGAGGUUCUUCUUGUAGUUCCUGGGAAGGGUGACGUUCCUAGUCGGCCUCCACGGGGGUAUGUGACAAUGCACCUAGAGAGUUUCAAACUAGGAGCUCGGCUGCCCCUUCAGCGUUAUUUUUCCAAAAUAUUGGGGGGUAUGCACCUGGCCCCAGAUCAGCUACACCCGAACGGGUGGAGGGUUCUCUCGGCAAUGUUUGUGUUGUGGUAGAGGUGCGGGUCGGAGGAGCCUUCCCUUGUUGAAGUGAAACAUCUGUAUCAGCUGCGGAGCAGCCCAAGGGAGGCGGGCUGGUAUUACUUCAUGUCCAGUUCCGCAAAGAGAAAGCCAAUCACUGGUUUCCCCUCCUCGUGCAAAAAUUGGAAGAACAAAUUCUUCUUUGCUGGGGGAAAGUGGUGUUCAGCACUCCGUUCGUUGGGUGGUGAUAUUUACCUUCCAACGCAGUUUGUCACCCCAGGUCGUUCAUUUUUUGCCUAUAUUCCUUCUCAAACUGUCACUUAUCGAGUUCUUUAACCUCUUUUGCUAUUUCAGAGUCGUGGGGUUUGAUCGGGGGGCUUAAAGAUUGACCUUUGCUUCAGGUGGAAACUGCUCUGUUGAACGCGUCUACCUGCCAAGACCUCCUGUCGCCAACAAACCUGGUCGGUUCGGGCCUAGUAGACAUAGCCGCUGGAAUGGAUAACAAAAUCCUUAGCGCGAUGAGCAGGAAGCGUGGUCGGGCUCCGAGUAGCUCCAACAACCUUCCCCCUCCUCCAAAGAAACCCAGCGUCUGUCUUUCCAAGGCGCCUGUUCCUGCUCUGCCCCCUCCUCCACCUCGUAAGAGUGGUGGGGAGAAAACCUACGACAAGAGUCCUGAGGUCAGCUUGCAAUCUGAGGACCGAUCUUCUCCUCUUCUAUCUCGGGAUCAAGGUGACUACCUGAGCCCAUAUCAGAAGGAUUAUAAAAAAUCGGUUGGGCCCAAGAUGGUGAAGGACAUCGAGAGCAUGAGUCUCUCCGAGUUAGCUGCUUUUAUUCAAAGAGUCUCCUUCAGGUUGUCCACAAUGGUCUCGUGCUACAAGACCGGGUCCGCGCGUCAUGAGAAGAAGCUUCAAGCUGACAAUCAGGAGUUGAAAAAGAAAGCUGAAUCUGCUGACCGCUCCAAGGAGAAACUAGCCGAGCUGAACAAGCAGAUUACAGAGCUGGAGGAGAAAGUUGCAGUUGCUGAGUCUACUGCCUCCAGGUUUGAGGGUGAGUUGGAUGGCCUGAAGUCGGACCUUCAGGUAACUCAAAGUGAAAGAGAUACUUUGAGGACCGCCCUUGAGGGAGAAAUCAAAUCCCUGAAUGAGCAGCUGGCUGAGGAGAAAGGCAAAUCCGCUGAUGUGGACGAUCGGUUGGAUGCCGAGUAUGACUCGGGGGUUGCUUUCUCCUAUAAGUGUAUCAUGUCUGUGCUUCAGGGAGAAUAUCCCGAGCUGGACAUGAGCAAGUUGGAGGCUGGAGUGCAGCGGUAUAUGGCAGAGGUCGGCCAGGCGGACAAUGAGCAGGGUGAGCAGGAUCAGGUGGAGGCUCCUUUGGAUGAGGUGCAAGAGGGGGAAGCUGGGGGACGUCCUUUCGAAGUGGGUCAAGGGUCCAUGCCUCCUCCUCCCGGCAUUGCUGAUCUCCCACCUCCUGAACUGCUGUACGGCCAAGGCGGAUGUACGGUACAGCAGUUUGUAAACAAUUGAACAUUUAUAAAUUUUUAGAUGCUCUUUAUUUGCUUUCUUGUUCGGUUUUUGCUAAUAGAUUGUUUCUGAAAAACAAUUGGAUAACUUAUCUGAUUUUGCCUGCUGGUUCCUUAGCGAACUGAGCAGGAGUAGACAUUUACUUGCCUUAGUAAAAUUUCCAUAAAACUGGUUGCUUGUCUUCAUUGACCGAGCCGAACUAGGCACUUACUUGCCUUAAUAGGAUUUUUUGUAGAAUUAGCUGCUGGUCUUUCGUUGACCGAGCAGAAGUAGGCAUUUACUUGCCUUAGUAGGAUCUUCGUAGAUUUAGCUGCUGGUCUUUCGUUGACCGAGCAGAAGUAGGCAUUUACUUGCCUUAGUAGGAUCUUCGUAGAUUUAGCUGCUGGUCUUUCGUUGACCGAGCAGAAGUAGGCACUUACUUGCCUUAGUAGAAUCUUCGUAAAUUUAGCUGCUGGUCUUUGGUUAACCGAGCAGAAGUAGGCGCUUACUUGCCUUAGUAGAAUCUUCGUAGAUUUAGCUGCUGGUCUUUCGUUGACCGAGCAGAAGUAGGCACUUACUUGCCUUAGUAGAAUCUUGGUAAAUUUAACUACUGGUCUUUCGUUGACCGAGCAGAAGUAGGCACUUACUUGUCUUAGUAAGAUUUUUUGCUUCAAGCUGACAAUCAGGAGUUGAAAAAGAAAGCUGAAUCUGCUGACCGCUCCAAGGAGAAACUAGCCGAGCUGAACAAGCAGAUUACAGAGCUGGAGGAGAAAGUUGCAGUUGCUGAGUCCACUGCCUCCAAGUUUGAGGGUGAGUUGGGUGGCCUGAAGUCGGACCUUCAGGUAACUCAAAGUGAAAGAGAUACUUUGAGGACCGCCCUUGUGGGAGAAAUCAAAUCCCUGAAUGAGCAGCUGGCUGAGGAGAAAGGCAAAUCCGCUGAUGUGGACGAUCGGUUGGAUGCCGAGUAUGACUCGGGGGUCUCCUGGUCCCGUGGCUCGUAUUACUCUAUACGGGCCUUUCCAUUUUGGGCCAAGAGCACCAUGGUUGGGAUCCCUAGUAUUUUGAUUCACCUUCCUAAGUACCCAAUCUCCUGCUCGGAACUGCCUCACGCGUACAUUCUUGUUGUAAUAACGCGUGACCCUUUGCUGACACUGGGCCACUUUCUGUGAGGCCCCUUCCAUUUUCUCCUCAAGUAGGUCCAGGCUUAAGCAGAUCUGCUCGUCAUUUUCUUCCUCAGCGAAAUAUUCCGUUCGAUGUGUCCCCACUCCAAUCUCUGCUGGGACUACUGCCUCAUGACCAAAAGAUAAAGCGAACGGGGUUUCCCCUGUAGCAGUUUUGUGAGUUGUCCGGUAAGCCCACAAUACCCCUGGUAGCUCGUCAACCCAAGCUCAUUUUUUGAUUGCCAACUUGUGGCAAGCUACCCCGCGAUCAAUUCCGGGCAUAUCUUCAUGAGACCAGGCGAAUAUAUCCGCAUGAGACUGUAGGCAAUUUAUCAGUUCGCCUUUUAUUGCCCCAACCAAUCCUGACCCGAUCUUCACUACUCUGCUCGGGUUGCUUUUGCUUACCGCAACUUCCUCCAGUUUCUCAACAGGCUCUUGGCGGCCCUUUUUAGAGUCUCCUCGAUUAUCUAGAGAGGUAACCUGCAGUGUCUCCUUGGCCGCUGUAGCAUAACAACUCCUUGCCAUCCUCUGGUCACCUUUUACUACGCCAACCACCCCAUUUACUCUGUAUUUCAGUGCCAAGUAAUGCGUGGAUACAACGCAUUGGCUUAUCCUCAUGAAUGGUCUCCCCAGUAUCAUCUGGUAAGGGCUUCUUUCCUCUACCACGACAAAAUCCAGCAUCAUUGUUCUUUCAAAUGGUUUUGUCCCUAUAGUAAUUGGGAGUUCGAUGAUCCCCAUGAGAGUUAACCGUCCCCCUCCAAAUCCCUUUAAGGAUGUAUUUGUCCGCUCAAAUUUCAAGUCUGCGAUCCCCAUAUCAUCUAGAGCCAACUUAAACAGGAUGUCAACCGAGCUGCCUGUGUCUACUAGUAUUCGUCGCAAUUCUGUACCGACCACCAUUGCCUUGAUCACCAAUGCAUCCUCAUGCGGAUAUAAGAUACCCUCUUCAUCGUCAUCUGUCCACAUAAUGGGAACUUGCCGCACUUUUGCCUUCUUGGUUGCCGGCAAAUUGAAAAGCACUUCUUUGCUAGUCAGGGCAUAUCUCCCAUAGUUCUUCCGUGCCCUGUUCGAAUCCCCGGCCAAUGUUGGCCCUCCUGCUAUUACACGGAUGGUCGGCUGUUCACAUUCCAAAUCCCUCUCAACCCCUUCAUCCCGUGUAUAUUGUGAUUCCAUGACAAGGGACAUUCCAUCUACAUACUCGUCUGUUGUAAUAACGCGUGACCCUUUGCUGACACUGGGCCACUUUCUGUGAGGCCCCUUCCAUUUUCUCCUCAAGUAGGUCCAGGCUUAAGCAGAUCUGCUCGUCAUUUUCUAUCAGCUGAACUGCUCGGUUAUCAUGAAUGUCACCUCGGGCUGACACAGUCGCUAACUGAUCUGGUCGACUAGCCAUGGAAUUAGUUGCAUGUGAUGCUCUGGGAGUGUUGUGAUAGGGGUGGGCAGCCAUCUGCCGGAAUUCUCUUUGCCGAUCCGGGAAUGGGGGACGCGGAGGUUGAGCCCGGUUGUGCUGGAACUGCUGUGAUCUCAGAGCCAUGGGGUAAGGGCGGGACCGAGCCGAUAUUCCGCCCAUCACUGAAGAUUCUCCAGCUCGUUUUCCCGACCCGCUCCCUGUCGGGACUCUCCGUUCCUUUCGCCUCAGCUCGUCCAGCUGUUCACUUUUUAUUCUUGCCGAUUUCUCCUCUUCGAUUUCUAUAUCUCGCCUCGCCUGCUCAUACCCCGACGAGUAAUUCUGUACAAGGGGGCUUCUUAAGUUAUACCAUAGUCGGCCGAUUCUUACACCUUCUUUUAAUCCCCUCAACGCCUGCGGGUGAUUAAAAGCUCCCAGAUCCAGCACGGCUCGGUGAUAUCUUUUUACAACCAUUUUGGGCCAAGAGCACCAUGGUUGGGAUCCCUAGUAUUUUGAUUCACCUUCCUAAGUACCCAAUCUCCUGCUCGGAACUGCCUCACGCGUACAUUCUUGUUGUAAUAACGCGUGACCCUUUGCUGACACUGGGCCACUUUCUGUGAGGCCCCUUCCAUUUUCUCCUCAAGUAGGUCCAGGCUUAAGCAGAUCUGCUCGUCAUUUUCUUCCUCAGCGAAAUAUUCCGUUCGAUGUGUCCCCACUCCAAUCUCUGCUGGGACUACUGCCUCAUGACCAAAAGAUAAAGCGAACGGGGUUUCCCCUGUAGCAGUUUUGUGAGUUGUCCGGUAAGCCCACAAUACCCCUGGUAGCUCGUCAACCCAAGCUCAUUGCAGAAUCUGCUCUUAUCCCGUCGGUGAGUCGGUUUUGUUAUUGGGGCUGGAGGGUACAGCAAGCUUCGUCCCUCGAUCCUCUCAUACAAUUCCUCCAUGGAGAUCUUUAACGGAGUGUACUGUCUAUACGCCAAGCUCUGGUCUAUCAGCUGAACUGCUCGGUUAUCAUGAAUGUCACCUCGGGCUGACACAGUCGCUAACUGAUCUGGUCGACUAGCCAUGGAAUUAGUUGCAUGUGAUGCUCUGGGAGUGUUGUGAUAGGGGUGGGCAGCCAUCUGCCGGAAUUCUCUUUGCCGAUCCGGGAAUGGGGGACGCGGAGGUUGAGCCCGGUUGUGCUGGAACUGCUGUGAUCUCAGAGCCAUGGGGUAAGGGCGGGACCGAGCCGAUAUUCCGCCCAUCACUGAAGAUUCUCCAGCUCGUUUUCCCGACCCGCUCCCUGUCGGGACUCUCCGUUCCUUUCGCCUCAGCUCGUCCAGCUGUUCACUUUUUAUUCUUGCCGAUUUCUCCUCUUCGAUUUCUAUAUCUCGCCUCGCCUGCUCAUACCCCGACGAGUAAUUCUGUACAAGGGGGCUUCUUAAGUUAUACCACAGUCGGCCGAUUCUUACACCUUCUUUUAAUCCCCUCAACGCCUGCGGGUGAUUAAAAGCUCCCAGAUCCAGCACGGCUCGGUGAUAUCUUUUUACAAAAUCUCGAAGGGAUUCAUGCUCCUCCUGUUUCAUCCCCAUCAGUUCCAUCAUAUCGUCCUCUGGGGCCAUUGCCCCUCGGAACUGCUCGGCCAACUCCUGGCACAUCUGCUCAUACCCUUUUAUACUUCCUCGGGGCAGCUUGCGGUACCAUUCUCGGGCUCGUCCCUCUAAUGUCAACGGGAACACCCUGCACCUCUGAGCUGAUGUCAGCCCCUGCACACCCGUCAUGUCGUUGAAACGCUCAAUGUGCACCAGCGGGACAUUUCGCCCGGAGUAUUUGAGGUCGGGGAAGCGGAAAUCUCUUGGGAUUAUGGUACUCAUGAUCUCAGUUGAUAACAGAGAUUCUUCAUCUAGCAUUAUCCUCCAGGUCGAGGCUUUCUCUUGCCCUGUAUCUCCUCUAUCACCUACGCCAAUCUGCGCACCUCCCCCUCCAAUUCUAAGGCACGGUCAGGAUCACGUGCAGCUAUAUGGUCUCGUUCCAGCUCGGCAUUGUGUAACCGCUAUCUGAGCUCUCCUUCGUCAACACUGGCACCUCGGCCAUUGACUUCCAGGACCUGUCCGGGGCGAGGUUGGUCCCUCCCUUCAUCCACGCGUUCUCCCGGGACCCGACCAGUACUUCUGUGGGGAUGCACCCCAUUAGGUUGGUCUGCGGGCGGAGGGAUUUCCUCGACUCUACGCCUCCGAAGGCUGGGUUCUACUCCAACUUCAUCUCUUCCCACGGGGGUUUCACAAUCCCUUCUCCGCUCAUCCCUCAGCUCGAACAAUAUGGUUGCGAGAGUCUCCAUUUGUUUCUCCAUCCGCUCCAGUCUAUCUUGCAUCAUCUUCUCUCGGGCUUCAUUUGCAAUUUCCCGGAGAGUGACUGUCUCCCCAGCUUCGUUAUCCUCCCUCAAAGCGUCCUUCCUUGUCACAUCCAUGCCUAACCGUUCGCUGUUUUUCCAGUAACUACUAAUUCGGUGGUAGCUUUUUAUCCAGNNNNNNNNNNNNNNNNNNNNNNNNNNNNNNNNNNNNNNNNNNNNNNNNNNNNNNNNNNNNNNNNNNNNNNNNNNNNNNNNNNNNNNNNNNNNNNNNNNNNNNNNNNNNNNNNNNNNNNNNNNNNNNNNNNNNNNNNNNNNNNNNNNNNNNNNNNNNNNNNNNNNNNNNNNNNNNNNNNNNNNNNNNNNNNNNNNNNNNNNNNNNNNNNNNNNNNNNNNNNNNNNNNNNNNNNNNNNNNNNNNNNNNNNNNNNNNNNNNNNNNNNNNNNNNNNNNNNNNNNNNNNNNNNNNNNNNNNNNNNNNNNNNNNNNNNNNNNNNNNNNNNNNNNNNNNNNNNNNNNNNNNNNNNNNNNNNNNNNNNNNNNNNNNNNNNNNNNNNNNNNNNNNNNNNNNNNNNNNNNNNNNNNNNNNNNNNNNNNNNNNNNNNNNNNNNNNNNNNNNNNNNNNNNNNNNNNNNNNNNNNNNNNNNNNNNNNNNNNNNNNNNNNNNNNNNNNNNNNNNNNNNNNNNNNNNNNNNNNNNNNNNNNNNNNNNNNNNNNNNNNNNNNNNNNNNNNNNNNNNNNNGUUGAUAACGGAGAUUCUUCAUCUAGCAUUAUCCUCCAGCUCGGGGGCUUUCUCUUGCCCUGUAUCUUCUCUAUCACCUGUGCCAAUCUGCGCACCUCCUCCUCCAAUUCUACGGCACGAUCAGGAUCACGUGCAGCUAUAUGGUCUCGUUCCAGCUUGGCAUUGUGUAACCGCUGUCUGAGCUCUCCUUCGUCAACACUGGCACCUCGGCCAUUGACUUCCAGGACCUGUCCGGGGCGAGGUUGGUCCCUCCCUUCAUCCACGCGUUCUCCCGGGACCCGACCAGUACUUCUGUGGGGAUGCACCCCAUUAGGUUGGUCUGCGGGCGGAGGGAUUUCCUCUACUCUACGCCUCCGGAGGCUGGGUUCUGCUCCAACUUCAUCUCUUCCCACGGGGGUUUCACAAUCCCUUCUCCGCUCAUCCCUCAGCUCGAACAAUAUGGUUGCGAGAGUCUCCAUUUGUUUCUCCAUCCGCUCCAGUCUAUCUUGCAUCAUCUUCUCUCGGGCUUCAUUUGCAAUUUCCCGGAGAGUGACUGUCUCCCCAGCUUCGUUAUCCUCCCUCAAAGCGUCCUUCCUUGUCACAUCCAUGCCUAACUGUUCGCUGUUUUUCCGGUAACUACUAAUUCGGUGGUAGCUUUUUAUCCAGCUCCCCACAGACGGCGCCAAAAUGUUGAUGCUGAAAUCUGCUCGCCUCUUGACCGACCAGAUUCUUUCACCAACGUUUGUGUUAUCUACUGUUGCUUGUUCACUAGGAUUGGAAUCGUCCUUCUUUCUCUCAAUAGACCUGCACUCACUAAAAAUGGAUCAGAGACGCCGGUGGUUUUACCGGCGUAAACCCUCCGAUGCCUAAGUUAGCACAAGGUGUUUACAGGAAAACAGUGUAAUUUGGAUUCCAGGAGCUUAUUAAAAAUUUGUAAGGAAAUGGCCUAGUUGCAAUUUGGCAGCGUUUUCCCUCUCUCUCUUUUUUUCCCCUUUCUUCACCGAUUUCUUCUUCUUUUAUAGCCGUUGUCCCCACGUUUCCGUUUGCCAUUCAUCUCACCUUUUUCGGGUAGUGGCAGCCCCUUAUGGGAUUUUAACUGCUACAUUGUGGGCAAACGUGGGAUCUCGCAUCUCCCACAACGGUUCUGGGAAAAGCGCAACUACCGCGAUUCUGUGGGAUCGUAUUUCCGCUUUUUGGGGGACGGGUACCGGCUCGGUAUACAACUCUGGUCGGUAUUCGUCUCUGAUCAGCUCAUGUUACCCCCUGUUCUGCUCGUACCAUUUGGCUGAGGUGAUUCAUGCCGGGGUGGAAAUAGUAGCAUGGCCGACCUGGUGCUUUUAUUUGCUUAACAGAAGGUAUUUUCAGAAUGUUAAAAUUUCAAUGGGAACAGAUUUUUUAUUCCCAAAAAUCGAUCGUUGAGAAUUAGUCUCGCAUUUUCAUGCUUAUUUUAGUCUUUCAUUUUGAUGCUUAUUUUGUAAAGUAAAUGCUAUUAAUAAUUUCGAUUCUCCAAUCAAGAAAGUAAACAUAAGUAAACAUCGCAGUAAUGUAUAACUAUAGCAAAUUUAUGAUAUAAAGUAUUGUCAUUAUAUAUAUGUUUAUACUCGCGCGGAAUCUACGUAAGCACUCGUGGCCACAGCACACUCAAGAGGAAGCCCUUUUGGGAAGCGCUUUGUGUCUGUACAAUAAUUAUAAAUCAUGUAAUUCUUCUGCACCCACUUGAGUUUCUCUCGGCUUGUUUCAUCAAGCUCAUCGAUCUUCAUCCAUGCAGAGGAUGAAGAAUUCGAAGGGCAAGGCGCAGAAAUGAUUGGACCUGCUGGGUAACGAAUGCAAGUUUUGGCAUUAAAGUUUCUACAAGAAGCUGUAAAUGGAGCUUUUGUCCAAUCUGUUUUGACAAGACCGCCUCUUGUUGCCCAGUCAUCAGCGUUCCAGAGACUCGAGUGUAUUCUCAUUGGUUGGUUUUUUGGGUAAGGAAUGUUGAUUGACUCCAAGUUCUUGAACUCUCUAAUCGGUGUGCCAUCGACAUAGAAUCUGAAAACGUUUUUAAACAAAAAUGUUAGAGAGCCUUUUUAACCCAAAAGAGCCCAAAGAAUAUAUGAAGUAUUAAACCAAAAAAAAGAGACACGUCUAAUAAAAAAAAGAAGAGGAUUAAUUAGUGACUUGAAUUGUUGCUUGUUUUCAACAAGAGAUGAUUAGUGGAUUGAAAUUCUUACACGAUGGUUUUGGGAUUCCAGAGAAUGGAAUAUGUGUGAAAAUCUGAAGUGGGAUCAAACCAGGGAUAAAAUUGCUGCUCUCUGUCACCUUUGCCUUGUGUGAUUACAUUUGUGUGAAAAAUAUAAGGAUCGCCACUGAGAUUUCCCAAGAACUCAAAGUCUAUCUCAUCCCAUGUUGAUCCUUGUGAUGACAACUAUAACACAGAAUUAAAAAUAAGCUUACUCUUAAAGAGAAAAACAUUUUCGUGCAAGAUCACUGGCAGCUUACGCCUUACAUAGUAAGAUGUGACAGUGCCAGCAGAGUUGCCUGGGACAAGCUUGAAUUGCAUGUCAAUUUUGCCAAAUAGAUACUCAUUCUUGGACUGGAAACCUGAGCCUGUGUCUUUGCCAAGGUAAAGAUUGAGGACUUCUCCAUCGUUGCGAAUCCUGACCUUGUCAAUUCCCCAUAUGAUGUCAAAAUCUUGAUAAAAAUUACUAGCUGGUAAAACUAACACAAAAGAGUUAGAUAAUAAAGCAGACAGCAUUAUCAGCACUACUAGUGAUUUAGCCGCAGCCAUUGUGCGAUAUUUAAAAUUUUGUUAUAGUUUUGGAUUUUUAUAGAGACGAAAAGAAAGAAGCGAUUUGCCAUUUGGAAAAAGAAAAAUGAAAAUUUUAAGAGAUAAGAUAGAUGAUGGGGAAGAGUUAGAGUCAAGGAUUAGGCUAGCACUUGUGGGGCAAAGAGCAAGAGCGGGAAACAGAUGGCAAAGACUGAAAUUAGUGAAAAGAAACUGCGAAAAUGCGGAUUUAUGCAUGUCACACAAGUGACAGCCCUAAGCAUGGUUUAUUAACACGUUGAAAUUUUGGCUGAUGGGUGCUUUUUGACCACUCUAUAUAGUUUCCGCAUCUACUGACCGGCUGGGCUCAGCCCUAUGUGAUUAGGAUGACUUUGGAGCAGUUUCCGUACUUAGAAUAGUCCCAAAAUAUGCUUAAGAAAAUGAGCAGGGUGUUCAAAAUCUAAUUCAAUUGGCUUAAUCCCAAAAUUAAUAGUCCCAAAAUUUGACUUUUAUAAUCGCCGAGAGUAAAAAUGAUUAUCUUAAGAUUUCAACAAGUCUUAAUAUAUUUUUCUUCACUUUUCUUUCUAGUAAUCAUGACAAUACAAAAAUUGUAACUAAAAAAGAAGAAUUAUGUACUUGGUCAUGAUUCAUGAGGAGACAUAAUGAAUCUUAUAAAAUGAAACCUUUGACUUCAAUUGGAUCUUGAGUCGCACAACCACUCUAGCUUUAUACAUAUUGUGUCUAGAUAUAAUAAAGUUCAAUGGUGCUCGUCGUUAAUUACUGUUAAAUGAUAAUAAAGUUUUAGCAAGAUGAUAUGAAUAUAAAGAGCAAAACAAUUUCGGAAUAUUUUGAGCUGUCAUAUUUACAUAAUUAACUUAACAGCUAAUAUGUUUAUCAAACAUUUACACAGUAAUAAUUAAUAUUAAUAACUUUUGUAACAACUCAAUCCCAAACUUGCCUCUUUUUAAUGUUUUGAAAUUAAACUUUACCUUUAAAUGUGUUGACAGAUAUUGACUCCUCCAAAUUAGCUCCAUCAACUGAAAUUCACCGCCACGUUUCCCCGACAUCUUAGGCGCCAGCAUCAUUUACACGUGGCAAAAAGAUAACUUUACACUUAUUUGAUAAACACAAAAGUAAAACUUCAAUUAAUCAAAUUAGAAAUAAUAGCUACCUGAUGUCCCAAAAUAUUUGUAUGAAGUCACAUAAAUCUUAUCACAACGAACAAAGUAGCUAGCUAUCACUUCUAUUUGGUCCAUUUUUCAUCUGCAUCAUUUUCCUACGUCCUGCAUGAAGGACCAAAAACAGAAGGAGCAGCUGGGGGAUGAAGGGAAAAACCCUAAUGGUCAAAACCCUUGUGGAGAAAACCCUAAUGGAGAAAGCCCUAAAAAGCAAAAUGAUGAUGCUUCACUUGUACGGCAUCCUGUGAAGAGUACUGGUCAUCAUCUGAUCGCUGAUGAUUCUUAUUUUGAUUCAUUCCCGCCUGGUUACCGAUUCAAACCCCACGAUGGAGAACUUGUGGUUUAUUACUUGCGGAGGAAGAUACUGAAUCAGCCAUUGCCUCCAAACCAGAUCAAGGUGGUGGAGUUGUAUAGGUUUAAUCCUAACACACUUACAGGUUAGGGGAAAAAAAAGUCACUUUUAAUUUCUUAUUUUCUCAAUUUCUGUGUUGUAUGUUGUUUUAUUGGCACGCAUCAUAUAUGAUUAAUUUUUUUUAUAAAAAAAUCUGUUUAUUCCUUAUUUCUCGAGAUUAUUAUUUAUUAGAAUGGAAAUUUUCUGAGUCUCGUUAGUGGCUUCUCUACUCUUUAUUAUUCAAAUUUUGUAGUCUUCGCUUGGGAUAUUUGUGGCUUCUCUACUCUUUUUCACGAUAGAUGUUUAUGCCAUUACAUAUAUAAUAUUACAGUGUAUAUUUUAAUGUGAUGCGAUUUUACAUCAGGUAUGAUUUUAGAUUUAGAUGGUGUUGUAAAUCAGCAUAUAAAAUUUAAUCCCCUCAUAUUGAAAACGUUUAUAAUAUGUUAUUUCUUUCGUAUUAGUUUGUCUACAUUUUUUUUGUUUCAUGAUAUCUUUAUGAAAUUUCUUUUAUUCUGUCCACUGAUGCAAUGAUUUACAGAAAGGUACAAGUCACUUGGUGAAAUGGAAUGUUAUUUCCUUACACCAAGAGAUAGAAAAUAUCGAAAUGGUCUAAGACCCAAUCGAGCUGCUGCAGAUGGGUACUGGAAGGCCACAGGAGCUGAUAAACCUGUUAAGCACAAUGGCAGUUUGGUUGGAUUCAAGAAGGCAUUGGUCUUCUACAAGGGAAAAGCUCCAAAGGGUGAUAAGACUAACUGGAUCAUGCAUGAAUACAUAGUGAAUAAUCCACCACAGAAACAAAAAGGCCGAAAUGAUAUGAGGGUAAAUGAUUUUCCUUGUUGUCCAAAUUCAUUUUUAUUUGAUUCUUUUUUUUGGUUUUAUUCGACUAAUUUCUGCUUCAUACAAGUCCCUUGCAGUUAGAUGACUGGGUUCUCUGUAGGAUCUAUAAGAAAACAAAGCAGUCAGCCAAAGCUUCUACUCGAAAACGAGAGGAUUCAGAGGAGGAUCAACAAUCAAGAAGCGAAGUUGCAACUCAAUCUCAAGAUAGUGGACAAACUUCAGUUGAUGAAAAGGCUAAAAUGCUGCCCAAAACAGAAAAUUUCAAGCCUGAAGGCCUUGGAAUCUUUGAUGUGCCUGAUUACUACAACCAGGGAAGAUUCUUCAGCGCAUAUGAUAAUGUCCUUUUAUCUUGUCAGAGUCCAUAUGCUAAUUUUCAGGAUGGUCAUCAGGGUAAUUCUCAGAAUUGGCUUCCUUUAAUCCCUCAGUCGGGGUUUCAGCAAAUGCUCCAUCAUAAUCCUACGUGGGAGAGCCCUAUGAAGCCUGAACAGUUCGGAUAUCCGCCCGAUGAUGUGUUUAGUGAUCUCCCUUCGGAAGACAAUUGUUUUGAUCCUCUACCUCAUAAUUUUACGAACUUAUAACUCUUUUCAUUUUGUGAUUCGAUUAGUUAAUGGUAGCUGACAUUAAUUGGCAUUUAUAAUAAGUUAGUUAGAGUGUACUUUAGUAGAGGUCGGUUUUCUUGAACUCAAUUUUUCUUGCAAUUCUGUGUACUUUGAUUGUUAUUUAUAUGAAUGUCAGCAGCAUGGAUAUUCAAGGAGAGUUGCUAUUUCUAUGGGUGGUAUGCUAAGGCUCCAUUUGCUUUAGCUUUUUGGUACUAAUUCUGUUACCAUUAUCAAAAUAUUUAAAAUAUUUGUAACUCAACUUUGACAGUACAACUGAUUAUUUCUCACAGUUUUCAGUUGUAACGCUCUUUGAACAAGAUUUUCUAAUCACUAAAAUUAUAUACAUAGUUUCCUAGAAUACCAAAUUAUUUACGUGACGAUCAUAUUCUUUGUUUGCCUCAAAGCUUGAGUUGUUUCUUUUAUCUCUCUUAAUUCCAAUUCAAGAGCUGUUUUCAGAAUUUUUUUUCCUUAAAUCCCAAUAGAAAAAAUGUAACGGAACAAUUUGUUAUGAAUGUAAUAAGCCAUAUAUAUCACAAAAAGGAGCAUAAACUGCACGGCUACUAUAUAUUGUUGAAGCUCUAUGAUUUUUAAAUUCUUUAUGAACGAUGUACCUCCGAUGUACUUUUAUUUUUUCUUCUUUUUGUCAUUUUGAGAUAAAUUUUUCUCCUCGAUCUCUUUAGAUGUUCAUAACUAAAUAUUCUUUAAGAUAGAGCGCAAUGUUUUAUCCCUACCACCACAACCCUAUCAUAAAGGAGACUAAAAAUUUGAGUUGGAGAAACAAGAAACUCAAUUCAAUCUAUAGAAAUUAUGAAGCCGUGUGAUAUGAUGAACUAACGGAGCUGCAGAAUGGCCUUUGAAAGUAAUGUUAAAAGCUUAAAACCUUUUUGAGUUUCCUUUAGCAAAUGUCAUAUGCAUUUUCUCUGAUCAAUGCACGAGAAAAUAUAACUUAGAGAUUGUUUAUCAAACGUUAGAAGUUUGUUAUUUGUUUUUGUGAUUUAUGUCUGAUUUUUAGAUAUUUACAUUUGAAUGGAAAAAAUAAAUUUUUAUAUCUUUUAUUUGAAUGGAAAAGGUUUGCAUGAAAAAUAAAUAUUAUAUUCCAAAAAUAUCUGUAUAAAAUAGUUUAUUUCCUCAACUAUAAGAUCUAAUCCUUUUUUGUUUUAAUUUAUGAGGAUAUAAUUAUCAAAGAAUCAAGUUUAAAACCUUUUUUUUUUGUUAUAAAAACAAAUAAGAUGUCAUUUAUACUCAUAUAUUAAAAAAAAAAAAGAAAUCUAAACGUUUCAUUCAAUUUUUUUUUAUUUAAAUCCAUUCAAACUUCUGAAAAAUUCAGAUUCAUUCUAAUUUCAGACUUUAAAAAAAAAUGUUAUCUUACUACAAACUAAAUUCCAAACUUAAUAAAUUAAUAUCAGAUCCCAGCCACAAUUCGCAUAUGAAAUGUUUGAGAACGAAGUUGUGAGAAAAUGCAGUCAGAAUCGACUGCCAUCAAUUAACAAGUUCCUUGGGAGGAAACAUGUUCAAUUUCUUUUUCUUUUUCUUUUUUUCCAAAAUUUUAAUGUGGAAAAUUAAUUCGGAUGCCGGGGUUAGUCCAACCACAGCACUCAUACUGGGCCGUGCGAGUUAAUUUUUGGGCCAAGUUCUUAACAUAUUUACUCAAUAUUUUGGAUGACAAAAUUGCCCAUAAACGCCCUGCAAGGACAUAACUGCAGAAAACAGGCUGGAGUAAAGUAUGCGACUAUGCGGUAACAAAACUUUCGGGACGCCUGCGUUAAUGACUUUUUGUUACUGCCACAAAGCAGUCACAAAAAGGUCAUUUGUGACUGCGGAGUGAUCACAUAAAACUCCUCCUCCUUGUAGUGCCACCUGCAAAAUAAUCCAUACUAGACCUCCUAAUUCUUCAUUUUCAUCCCUAUUAUUAAGUUAACUCGAUUGAAAUAUAUAUUUAUGAAAUUACAUGCACCAACUAUUUAUCGAGAAUUACAUUAAAUUAUGUAUAUAGCUAAUGUAAGAUCAAUUUGGAGAACUAAAAAUAUGUUAAUAAAAAUAGAAAACCGGGUUAUAUCGUUUGUCCCUCUUGUUCAUGUAUCGAUUUUUUUUUUUUAAAUUCCGCGGAACUACUGCAGCUACAGUGCUGGAAAGGAGCAAAUAUGUCGGAUUAUGCUAAGGAUUGCAUUAAAUGAACAAGAAGCUAUCCUAUAUUCUCUCAUUUUGCUAAAAGAUAAGGCAGUGAAAUAACUUCUAUUCUACUUCUACUUUGAAGAAUUUUACUGCUUCUCAAUCAACUACAUCAGCAGAAACUAUCAUAUUUCGCCACAUCAGCUUCAAUGACAGCUACUAAAGCACACAUUCUGGAAUCAUUGAACUCAAUCAUAACCAUCAAAUCAUUGACCACCGAUAGAUUGGCAUCUUAACUGAAUCCAAAGGAUAAAUCGCCUUCCGAAAACCGUUUGAUAAACCGAUCAGUUAGAAAAAGUAUCUACUUUAUUUAAUGUUAUAUAAUCCAAAUAAAUUAGUAUAAAAUAAGCCCCUAAUAGGAUUCUAGGGUUUUGAUUAGAGAAUUAAGAGAGAAUAGAUGAAGAAGUUAAAGAGAAGGGAGAAGAAUUAAUAGGAAUUAAAAUUAAUUUUAUUACUUGCGUCCUAAAAACAUAAUAAGAACCACUUACUUAUAGUAGUUCAAGACAAUCCUAAUUGUAAUUUAAUAAGGACUUUAAUUGAAAUAAGAAAAGCUAAUACUAAUAGGAAAGAAAUUAAAACAAGCAAUUAAAAUAAAAUAAACUAUUAGGGCCCUAACAGCCCCCAUGCAUCUGAUCACAACAAAUAUUCUUGAUGUAUCUGAUCACAACAAAUAUUCUUGUGAGGUCAAUUUUAUAGGGAAAGCAGCGUCUCCUUCAAGUUUCGGUAAAAGUUAUCAAUGCCGGACCAGCAGCAGGGAGAUAAGGACCAAGACCCUAACGGCCAAGACCGCAAUGGUAAAAACCCUAAUGGCCAAGGCCCUAAAGGAAAAAGGCCUAUAGAUCAUACUCGUGAUGCUUCACCACCUGUGCGGAAUCGGAUGAAUGCUGCUAAGGGUCCUGAGUUCGAUGAUAACUUUCCUCCUGGUUACAGGUUCAAGCCUCACGACAUAGAGCUUCUAGUUCAUUACUUGCGGAGGAAGAGAAUGAAUGAACCUUUGCCACCAAAUCGGAUUAAGGAAGUUCACUUGUACAAAUUUAAUCCUGAUACACUUUCAGGUUAAAAAUACCCACCACCCCAUUUCUCUUUUUUGUUUCUUUUGUUUUUUUGCAAUUGCCUUGCUGGUAUUUUUCUUUAAAUUAAGUAAUGCACUUACGCAUAUUAAGUUCUUUCUUUUUCUUGAGUUCAUUUGGUUAUUAAUUAGAGUGUAACUUCUUGAGUUUCUUGAAAUGGUUUAGUUUCUUGAGUUAGAAGUGUUUCCUUUGCGUUCGUUAUACAUAUAGUCUCAUAAUUUGAUUUGUUUUCGUACUUUGGUAAUGCUCUUAGCGCUUUUCUUGAGUUCAUUUGUAAUUGGAGUGGGCAUUUCUUGAGUUUCUUGAAAUAAAAUGGUCUGCUCUUCAGUUUCUUGAGUUAAAAGUUACUUCUUUGCGUUGUUGAAUGCUGAUUUAAUUUUCUACAUAUGGUCUCGUAGUUUGGUGCUUGUAUGUAUCCAAAACAAAGACUAUAAAUAUUUAUGUUGAUAUUAUUCCGUAUUCCAUAUAAUGGAAUCAGGAAGUGUAGAUCUUUUUUUUUUUUUUGGGUGAUUGAUACAAUGAUGAUUCUGUAUUAAUAAUGCACAGAAAAGUAUAAGCCGUUUGGUGAGAAUGAAUGGUACUUUUUUACUCCAAGAGAGAGAAAGUACAAAAACGGGACAAGACCCAAUAGAGCUGCUGGAGAUGGAUUCUGGAAGGCAACUGGAGCUGACAAACCUAUCAAAAACGACGACGUUGUCGUUGGAUUCAAGAAGGCAUUGGUCUUCUACAUGGGAAAACCCCCAAGGGGAGAUAAAACUGAAUGGAUAAUGCAUGAAUUUAGAUUGGAGGGUCCUCCAAGGACCAGAAUCAGUGGAGAUGACAUGAGGGUAACUAAAUUUUGUAGCUUCUUUCUGUGUCAUAUGUGAUGUGUUGCAGCAAUUUUACAAUGUUGGUUUGCUGAUGAGUUUUGCUUUUAUAUAUUAUGUUGAUUGCAGUUAGAUGAUUGGGUACUGUGUAAGAUAUAUAAGAAAAGGGACCAGGAUAGAUCUAAGCUGUCGUCUUCAAGACCUUCAACUUCGCAACGGGAUGAUUCAAUUUCAGGCCAAGAUGAUCCACAAUCAGACACUGAAUUUCAGGAUAAUGGAGCCAUUGAUAUGGGAGUUGAAGACUCUGCUACGCUGCCCAAUGAAACUUUCAUGCCUCACGGUCCUGAAGGUCCUCGAAUCAUUGAUAUGUCUGGUUUCUACAAUCAGGGAGGAUUUCUCAAUUCAUAUGAUGAUACUUUCAUUUAUCAUCAGAGCCACUUUGUUAAUCACAAUGUCCCAUAUUCUCAAGGCAGGGUUCCUGAAAUGCCUAAUUACUAUGUUCCAUAUGCUCAAGGCAGGGUCACUGGAAUGCCUAAUCACAAUGUUCCCUAUUCUCAAGGAAGGCUCCCUCGAUUGGCUAAUCACAAUGUUUCAGAUUCUCAAGGAAGGUUCCCUGGAAUGACAAAUCAAAAUGUUUCAGUUUCAGUUUCUCAGGGGAGGUUCCCUACAAUUGCUCCUUAUUCGUAUAACAAUUCUAUGGGGCAGAGCUCUCCAUGGACUCAACAUAUAAUGAUUCCGACUGCUAAUCAGAAUCCUAAUGAAGCUGCCGAAUCAUCAGCAGCAGCAAGGGGAAGACCUUUCCAGGCAUAUCCUCAUCAACAUAUGUUUGCUACUUCAAAUCGGAAUCCUAAUCAACCUGCAGAAAUAUCAUCAUCAGCAGCAGCAAGACCUUUCCAGACAUAUCCUCAUCAUCAUAUGUUUGCUACUUCUAAUCAAGUGGCAGAAUCAUCAUCAGCUGCAGCAGCAAGACCAUUUCAAGGUUUGGAGAGCGAUAUGAAAUUUGAACAGUUAAAUGAAUGUCCCCCGGAUGAUUUUUUGAAGGACCCUUCUGACGACAAUUGCUUUGAUCCGGAUUAUCAUAACUCCCGGAAAUUCUAACUCUGCCAUUUUUUUAUCCUUCGAUGAUCGAUGAUGACUGGCUUUGACAGAUUUGUUGAUUGAAAACGUAGUCAUAGUUACUACUAACUUUGUGCUUGACGUGAACAUUUCCAUAGAUUUUUCUCUAGGACGAUUAAUGGAUUAUUUUCUUAGAGGACUCUAUCUUCUAUUUUAGUUGUGGACCCAAUUUCUCUCACUUUGCAAGUGCCUCAUGUUGAUAGAUUUUAAAUUUGUCUUGAUUGCCAUGCAAAUUUUUAAAUAAGGUGGAUGUGGCUAUCCUUUUAUAAAUCACACUGAUUCAUAAAUAUUAUUCCCGCUUCCUAUGUCAUUAAAAGUAUAGAUUUUUGGUUUGUUAUAAUAUAUGACAUGGGGAACCCGGCUGAAACUUUUUUGGUUCAAUUACAAUGGUUACGCGUUGCCCAUUUGGUUACUUUAUAUUUUGUUGACAUAGGGUUACAAGCUUCUGGCAGCUGCUGUUUCUUCUGGAUAUAUAUAAUGCUAUUACAUUUUCCAUGGGGUAUGCCCUAUUUUUUCAGCCUUAAAAACUUUCAUGGUCUCCCUCGAUGUUUUCAGAAUCCUAAGAGGGAAGUGGGGAAAUCUAAUGCUACAAUAUAGUAAAUCCAAAACCAUUUCUCUUUGAUCUGGCAACUUCUGGGUGUCCACUAGAACAUACUAGAAAACAAAUUUUCAUGGAAGUGGCAUCGCAUUAUUUGUCGGUGGAUAUGCCAAAUGCUCAGGAGUAGGUGGAAAUAACCUAGGAAGCAAGUAGCAACUAUGCUCAUCUCUCCUGUAAAAUAAUGCCCGCAAGCAAUUUGACUGGCUUAAAGUUAUGACAAAGAUGCCCAUUUUCAAUGUGCACUUGUUUUUGCUAUCCAGCUGUUCAGUUCUCAACUCACCCCACCAACCAACUAUACAUUUCAAUAUUUGGCGAACAUUCGAUGCACUAACCAGCAGCUCCAAUAAAUAGCCUGGAACUCAGUAUUCUCAAGUGUGUCAAACUAAGUUGCAUAACGUUCCCGAAGUCAAUGCCUUGCUAUUCUUAUUCUUCUUAUCCAAUUUUCUUGUUCUCUUUUAUUGUCACAAGCUCUUUCAUUGUUGCAAAUGCUGGUAAUUUUAACAAAGAUGUUGAUAUUACAUGGGGUGAUGGACGUGCCAAGAUUCUCAACAAAGGCAAGCUUCUUACUCUGUCUCUCGACAAAGCAUCUGGCUCUGGCUUCCAGUCUAAGAAUGAAUUUUUCUAUGGAAAAUUUGAUAUGCAGCUCAAGCUUGUUCCCAACAACUCUGCUGGCACUGUCACUGCCUACUAUGUAAGCUCCUUAAUGAAAGAUUCUUUUUCCCUUUCACAUAUAAUUUGUUUGUCAGUCGUCACAUCAUUAUGUUGAUACGUAGACUUGCUAUGGUGCAGCUAAAAUCUCCAGGGGCAUCAUGGGAUGAAAUAGACUUCGAAUUCCUGGGGAAUUUGAGUGGCAACCCUUACAUUGUUCACACAAAUGUCUACACACAAGGAUAAGGUGACAGAGAGCAACAAUUCUACCUCUGGUUUGAUCCCACUGCCGAUUUUCACACUUAUUCAAUCCUCUGGAAUCCAGGUCACAUUGUGUUAGUACAUACACAACCCUGAUGUGAGCGAAAUUCGAAUCCUGGAUUUAAUUUUAUCAAGCUCGCAUUAACUUUUUAUUACAUUUUCUUUUUGUUCAGCUUCUAUAUCGAUGGCAGACCCAUCAGAGAAUUCAAGAAUCUCGAAUCAUUCGGCAUUCCGUAUCCCAAAAAACAAUCAAUGAGAAUGUAUGCUAGCCUGUGGAAUGCCGAUGACUGGGCUACAAGAGGGGGCCUGGCGAAAACAGACUGGUCUCAGGCUCCCUUCACUGCUUCCUUCGGAAACUUCAAUGCAAAAGCUUGUGUUUUGUCCAUCGGAAUAUCUUCUUGCAGCUCGAAUCCCGCAACUAAAAAUACAUGGUUUUCACAGGAGCUCGACUCUUCAAGCCAAAGGAAGCUAAAAUGGGUGCAGCAAAAUUACAUGGUUUACAAUUAUUGCGCAGACACAAGUUGGUUCCCUCAGUGCCUCCCCCAAGAAUGCACCAACAAAAAUUAGGACGAUGAAUCUUUUCUAAUCCAUUCAGUGUUUGGAAAUUCGUAUUUCAAUUAUAUUUUUAUUCUUUCUUCUACUUUUCUCAAUAGGGUUUCUUGAUUGCCAUCAAUCAUAUAACAUAAGAAUAUCGCUUCCCACUUGAUGCAUCUAAAUAAUAGUAAUAAAUGAUGUAGGAUGGUUUCAUCAAAAUUCAUUUUUCUUUUUAUUUUUUCAUUUUGGACUUCGGUUGGCAUCCUCAUCAUUAGAUAAUUAUUCUACAAAGUAAUAUAAUAUAUUAUUUACCCUUAUUAUAUAUGCCAAUUAUCAAGAAGAAAUGGGUAGGUAUUGAUAUUAAGGACUCAUCAGGUCCCUGCUAGGCCCAAAUGAAAUUAGUUCAAGAAUCAUGAACCUUGCAGGCCGAGCUCUAAUGGGCCAUUUAUGAUUUGCAUAAGUAUCCCAAACUUCUUCCAAAGAUAACUGCAAAAAAUUUAACAAAGUUGAUUGUUUUCCUCAAAUCGAACAAUAUUCAGAUUUUGUUCAGUGUUCAAUUACCCUAAGAAUUUUCUUUCCUAACUCAUGCAGAGCAAUCCAUAAUCUCAUUUCGCCAUGGCUUUUAUCCAAGUCACAUGUAGCCGCCCAUGCAUGGGGAGAUUGUAUAUUACAUUGAAAAUUUAUACCGUUAUGAUACUGCUCACAGGAAACAUGUCACCAAGUGUUAAGAAAGACGAGUUAUAUAAUACGUAAUUAACUAAUCACUGAACCCAAAGCAUGCGCCAACAAUGUCCUAAUUUGCCUCAACGACUUGUUUAUUAAGGCAAAGCCGGCCAGGGUCUUUUGAGAAAGCUUCAGCCAAGAUGCUGGAAGAGAGUGCUAGAGAGUGUUAAAGUGUAAUUUCCUUUACAAUAUGUUUGAACUGACACUUUGAAUGUCUUGAAAUUAAUACCAAUUUUUUUUGGGAUACUGCAUGUUAUAAUCAUUCUCAGGUGUGGACGCCGUAUUUUUUUUAAUACGGAUACACUUUUAUACUGUGUUGUUUAAAAGAUUUAGUUUUUAAAUGAACUGUAAAAUCGUAGGGCUUAAGUGAGUUAAAAGUUAAUUUUCUUAAAUUCUACGGUUUUAAAGUAUAUUCGCAUGAAAAUAAAAUAAGGAUGUCCACACUAUAAAAAGACUACUGCAUGUUAUAAGAAAGGUUAAAAAAAUUUUAUGAAUCAAUUUGUGGGUUGCAUGAACAGACUUCGUACUCAACUGUCAUUAUUCUUUGGACCUACAUUCUGGUUUCUCUCCUUUUUUUGUUUAAAUAAAGAAUCAAAUCUCUUUAUCUCGGCUUACUGUUGCAAGAAAAUUAAAAAGUACAAACCAAGAGAACGAAUACAAUACAACAUAAUCUGUUCCCCAACCCUCGAGGUAAUUAAUGGAAAGUGGGCAACAAUGUAUUUGACAGCAUUUCAAUAGAAGGAUGAUAUUCUGGUUUAUUUUCAAGGAUAGAUUGUGUUCGAGUAACAAUGUUUUAGAUGAUAUAUCACCAGCUGGCCUUUUGUAUCGUAGUCAUCUAAUGGACCCCCGUUCCUUGACCUGAUCCUGUUCACAAGUACGACAAUGACUAACCGACCGUCUGUCAAAUGCUUGAAAGAAUUUGACGCGGGAUUGAGCCCCAAGGACUGUGGUGGUGGAAUCGGCAGAAGCAAAAGUACAACCUAAACCCGUAUCUACAUAGAUAUGUGCGAGUACCGGAUAAUCAUGAUCGCAAUUCAAGAUCAAGUGGGUAUGCAUGCAGGCACCGAACCCCAUUUGGAAUUUGGGGCCAUGUCAUAUAAUCUGUCUGCAAAUGAGAAACAGCCAAAUUUGCCUCUCUUUCAAUUCAUGGCACAGCCAGCUGUUGACAACUUUGCACUCUCAGAAACGGCAAACAUGAAACAACCAUCCAAACGCACCCUCUUCUUCACUCUUCUUUUGUCCAUUUCUAUACUCCAAUCCCCUAUAUAAUAUUACAUUACAUCCAUGCAAAACUAGUAAUAAUUUAUGCACUAUUCAGUAUAGCGAGCUCCAGAUCCCAAAAUCCUGAAAGAUAUGGGUUCUGAUUCGUUUGGGGUGAUGAUGUGUACUUUUGUUGGGCGUUUAGCUGCUGUUUCUGCUGGUAAUUUCAAUGAGGAAUUUGAUAUCACAUGGGGAGAUGGUCAUGGGAAAAUAUUCAACAACGGCCAACUGCUUACUCUCAAUCUCGACCAUUACUCUGGCUCAGGCUUCCAGUCCAAGAAACAAUACUUAUUCGGCAAGAUUGAUAUGCAACUCAAGCUUGUCCCUCGCAACUCUGCUGGCACUGUCACUGCUUAUUAUGUACGCUUUUCUUUUUAUCAACACCUGCUGUUUUCAUUGAUUUCUUUGUAAUGAUGCUAAUUAAUAUUAAUUAUGAGAGUCUUUGAUGUUGUAGCUACGCUCACAAGGACCAACAUGGGAUGAGAUAGACUUUGUAUUCUUGGGAAACCUCAGUGGUCAUCCGUACACAGUUCACACAAAUGUGUACAGCCAAGGCAAGGGUGACAGAGAGCAGCAAUUUCAUCUCUGGUUUGACCCCACAGUCAACUUUCACACUUAUUCAGUUCUCUGGAAUCCUCAACGCAUUGUGUAAAGUCCAUUUCUCUCUUAUUAGUAUGUCAUUCGCUUCUACAAUUUUAUUGACUUGUGUUGUUCAAUUAAUUGCAUUAUUUCAGCUUCUCUGUUGAUGGUAUUCCAAUUAGAGAGUUCAGAAACCUGGAGGCUAUAGGCGUUCCAUUACCAAAGAAUCAGCCAAUGAGAAUAUACUCAUCUCUUUGGAAUGCUGAUGACUGGGCUACAAGAGGUGGGCUAAUCAAGACGGAUUGGAGCCAAGCUCCUUUCACUGCUUCUUACAGAAAUUUCAAGGUUGAUGGUAGCCGUGCCUGGCUCUUGCAACAAAUGGAUUCCACAAACCAACGGAGGCUUUACUGGGUGCGGAAGAAUCACAUGAUUUACAAUUACUGCACUGACACCAAGCGAUUUCCCCAGGGCUUUCCCAAAGAAUGCGCUGUCCAUUAAAGCUGGCUGUUCCAAAAACUUUAGCGCCUAGGUACAGGAGCUGUCUUGUAUAACAUAACAUUAAAUGAUAAAAUGUAAGCUAAUUAGUAGUGAGGGAUGCCUUUAGCACUAUCCGAAUUAGGUAGUCGGCUGGUUUUGUAUUUUGAAUAGCUAUUUAUUAACAUAAUAAUAAUAUUUAUUUUAAGAUUCUAAUUUUUUAAAGUUGCGUAUAUAUUGAAGGAAAAUUUAAUUUUUAGGAAUCUCCCUAUUAUUAUUCUCAUUCAUAAUUAUCUCUAUAUUUAAUAAUCUUUACUUUAAAAAUAAUUUUUUUUAUAAAAAUGUGAUAUUUAUGGUAUAAUAAUUAUUCUAAGCCUUUGAAACUUUAUUUGGUUAAUAAUUACAAGAAAAAAAUUCAACGUUUUCCCUUUCCCAAAAAUAACUACUCUAUUAAAAUUAUAAAUGUUAGAUUUUAAAACAUCUAGUAUUCUAUUCAUUCUAUUUCAAACUUCAAAACUAAUAGAUAUUGAAUCAAUGAUACUCACCCAAAAAAAAUUUCUCUCAUAUCUACUCGGAAUAUUAUUCUAAUCUUCCCUAUAAACUUCAUUGCCAGCAUCUAACAUUUGACUAUCAUAUUCAUCUCAACUAAUCAACCUUUUACGUGCUAUCGUUCUAAUUUUCUAUUUUAAUUUAUUAUUAUUAUUUUUUAAAUUUAUUAUAUUUUUUUAUUUGUUGCAUUAAUAUAUGACUUGAAUCAGUUAUGAAGUUUGUGAUUUGUAUAGCAUAAAUGUUGAUAAUUGACAAAUUUAACAAACAUGGUGAGCUUAGUUAAUGUUCUUUUAGAAAUAAAUAUAUAUCUUUUCAUUUAUUAUUAUUAUCUGCUGUACCGUACAUCUCUGGUUUGACCCCACAGUCAACUUUCACACUUAUUCAGUUCUCUGGAAUCCUCAACGCAUUGUGUAAAGUCCAUUUCUCUCUUAUUAGUAUGUCAUUCGCUUCUACAAUUUUAUUGACUUGUGUUGUUCAAUUAAUUGCAUUAUUUCAGCUUCUCUGUUGAUGGUAUUCCAAUUAGAGAGUUCAGAAACCUGGAGGCUAUAGGCGUUCCAUUACCAAAGAAUCAGCCAAUGAGAAUAUACUCAUCUCUUUGGAAUGCUGAUGACUGGGCUACAAGAGGUGGGCUAAUCAAGACGGAUUGGAGCCAAGCUCCUUUCACUGCUUCUUACAGAAAUUUCAAGGUUGAUGGUAGCCGUGCCUGGCUCUUGCAACAAAUGGAUUCCACAAACCAACGGAGGCUUUACUGGGUGCGGAAGAAUCACAUGAUUUACAAUUACUGCACUGACACCAAGCGAUUUCCCCAGGGCUUUCCCAAAGAAUGCGCUGUCCAUUAAAGCUGGCUGUUCCAAAAACUUUAGCGCCUAGGUACAGGAGCUGUCUUGUAUAACAUAACAUUAAAUGAUAAAAUGUAAGCUAAUUAGUAGUGAGGGAUGCCUUUAGCACUAUCCGAAUUAGGUAGUCGGCUGGUUUUGUAUUUUGAAUAGCUAUUUAUUAACAUAAUAAUAAUAUUUAUUUUAAGAUUCUAAUUUUUUAAAGUUGCGUAUAUAUUGAAGGAAAAUUUAAUUUUUAGGAAUCUCCCUAUUAUUAUUCUCAUUCAUAAUUAUCUCUAUAUUUAAUAAUCUUUACUUUAAAAAUAAUUUUUUUUAUAAAAAUGUGAUAUUUAUGGUAUAAUAAUUAUUCUAAGCCUUUGAAACUUUAUUUGGUUAAUAAUUACAAGAAAAAAAUUCAACGUUUUCCCUUUCCCAAAAAUAACUACUCUAUUAAAAUUAUAAAUGUUAGAUUUUAAAACAUCUAGUAUUCUAUUCAUUCUAUUUCAAACUUCAAAACUAAUAGAUAUUGAAUCAAUGAUACUCACCCAAAAAAAAUUUCUCUCAUAUCUACUCGGAAUAUUAUUCUAAUCUUCCCUAUAAACUUCAUUGCCAGCAUCUAACAUUUGACUAUCAUAUUCAUCUCAACUAAUCAACCUUUUACGUGCUAUCGUUCUAAUUUUCUAUUUUAAUUUAUUAUUAUUAUUUUUUAAAUUUAUUAUAUUUUUUUAUUUGUUGCAUUAAUAUAUGACUUGAAUCAGUUAUGAAGUUUGUGAUUUGUAUAGCAUAAAUGUUGAUAAUUGACAAAUUUAACAAACAUGGUGAGCUUAGUUAAUGUUCUUUUAGAAAUAAAUAUAUAUCUUUUCAUUUAUUAUUAUUAUUAUUAUUUGAUCUUUUUGGUAAUUGUUGAAAUUCACCAAAAAUGUAAAAUCUGGGGACGUCGGACGUCCAUACUGUAUGUUCUAUUUACAUCCAAGUCCCUUUAUGUUAUUAUUAUUAUUAUUUGAUUGAGAAAACCAAAGGUUGCAAUUAUUAGGUGUAUUAACCGUUCACGCCCCCAAUCAAGAAGAUGCUCAAUCCCAAAAUGCCAUAAAGCUUGGAUCCUAAAUUUGUGAACAUGCAUGAAUACUACAUGAAAGAAUCAAAGAUGAAUAUAAGAAUUAAAUAACUGGAUACAAUUGUGAUUGUAUUUGUUCUUGAUUUAUCUUUUUAUUGUCAUGUUACUGUUGGGUGUACUAUUUUAACAGGACAUUAAAAAAAAAAUCUCGGAGUGGGUGUCGGUGAAUUUUAAUCGUUUGCUUGCAAGAUGUUUGAUAAAAGUCCCAAAUGAGAGAAGUCGUUUUAAUGGCAAUAGAAUAUUUUGCUAGUCCUUACCCGUUAAGUCAGUCAAAAAUUUAGAGUACCAUUGCAUAUGUGAAGAGGUUUGGUCGUUUCUACGUUAAAACCUAGCCAAAGAAGAACAUAUAGCAAGCAUGCGAAGAGUAGAGAACAUAAUCUCAUGAUAUUUAUAUGCUAAAUUUUGUAUUACAUUGAGAAAGUUGGACUAAUUUGCCAUUUUAUUGACGACAAAAUACAACAAAGAAUCAAAGAAUUGACAAAAAGAAUAAAUUUUUUUGAUGUAUGUGUUGAUUUUGCAAAACUUCUAAGAGGUUCUGCAUUCUGCAGGGAGUCCCUGGGGAAAUCUCUUUGCAUCAGCGCAAUAAUUGUAAAUCAUGUAAUUCUUCUGCACCCAUUUCAGCCUUUCUUGACUUGUUGAAUCAAGCUCUUGUGAGAACCAGGCACUGCUGCUGGAUGGAGAGGAAGGUGAACUUGAAGCGCAAGAAGAUUUUCCAUUAGACCAGACACAGGCAUCAGCGUUGAAGUUUCUGUAGGAAGCCGUGAAGGGAGCAUGCGUCCAAUCUGUCUUGACAAGGCCACCUCUUGUAGCCCAGUCAUCAGCAUUCCAGAGAGAUGAGUAUAUUCUCAUUGGCUGAUUCUUUGGGAAUGCAACUCCAAUUGACUCUGAGUUCUUGAACUCUCUUAUGGGAGUACCAUCCACAGAGAAGCUGAAAAUUAAGUAAACAUUGAUAAGUCUAAGCAGAUUGAAUGACAAGGAAAGAAGAAAUGAUGGAGAUUGAAGGAAAAUAUUGCUUACACAAUGCGCUGAGGAUUCCAGAGGAUAGAAUAGGUGUGAAAGUCAGCAGUGGGGUCAAACCAGAGGUGAAAUUGUUGUUCUUUGUCACCUUUGCCAUUUGUGAAUACAUUGGUAUGCAGAGUGUAAGGGUCACCACUUAAAUUCCCCAAGAACUCGAAGUCUAUCUCAUCCCAUGUUGAUCCUGGCGAUUUUAACUGCGUGAACAAAAAGUCAAAGGUCUAUAUGUCAGAUACAUGAUGAUCAAACAUGCAUAUUGUUUAUUCAUAUAAAGGCAGGAACUUACAUAAUAAGCAGUGACAGUGCCGGCAGAGUUGCCAGGGACUAGUUUGAGUUGCAUAUCAAUCUUGCCGAAUAGAUACUCAUUCUUGGACUGGAAGCCGGAGCCAGAGGCUUUAUCAAGGGAAAGAGUAAGAAGCUGGCCGUUGUUGAGUAUAUUAGCACGCCCGUCUCCCCAAGUGAUAUCAAAAUCUUGGUGGAAGUUACCAGCAGAGGCAACCAUCAAAGAGCCAAGAAGCAGCAGCGACAGAUGCAAUACUGAAGCCAUGGAAGCUUUCGUCUGAGCAACAACAAGAUAGAAGAAUUUGAGUUGGAGAGAAGUUUGAAAUUUUUGAAAGUGAAGCGAUGAGUGUGUUUGGGAUCUCACCAGGGUUUGGUAUUUAUAGCUUGAUUGAGCUGGUGAAGGUGAGUAUAACGAAAGCAGAGGAAAGUAAUGGGAAGCUCCAGUUAGUUCAGCUUCAGCUGUGGCCAGUUGUUUGCGUAAAAUAGCGUGAUGAAAUAAAAACAGCUGUCCGAAUCGCACUAACAGAACACGCUACAACAGGGACUUUUUUUUUUAUUACAAUACGCGGCUUUGCAUUACUUUUGAGACUCAAGUACUUAUUAUGUACUGCUGUUCUGUUCCCACCACCGGCUGACUCUUAUUAGAUUUUUUUUUUUUUCCAACCACCGCCAGUCAAAACACAAAAAAGAAAAUGUAGAAUUCACUGGGUGCUCUUCUCUCUCGAGAUUUUUUUUUUCCAUUUUAUGCUCAAAAGAAAAAGAAAAAAAAUUGUUCAAUGACGUACUUAAUUAACAGAUUUUUUUUUAUAACUAUAUUUAUUAUCAGGAAAUCAUUUGGUUCAAAAGCUUAAGACGUUAAACAGGAGUCCAGAAAAUAGCAUUAAAGUGUUGAAAGACCUGCCCGUGUGAAACAUGGAUCCAGUUUGAAGGUCAUGUCGUUCCAAAAGCGGAGAUAGGAGAUUGAAUUAGAGGUUCUUGAACAUACAAGAAUUGAAACAUAUACGUGUGUUAUUCGCAAAAAAUUGAGCACGCUGAGAUUUGAACAAGAAACCUUUGCUAUGUAAAAACGAAAAUGGCUUGACCCAAGAAAAUUAAAGACAAGUCUUUACUGGAGUCCCUAACAUGAAACAUGGAUCUAACAUCUAAGAAAUAUGUAUCCCUAUAUUUCCGAUACAGAUGCUUCCUAGUAACAUGAAACUGUGAAUUUGUAUCCUAAUUUUAGGUUAAUUGAUAACACAUACUUCCUGGUGAUUUCCUGUGUAAUAAAACGCAUAUGGAAUUGGAAGAUAUGCUUAUUAUUAUUAUUAAGGAAUUUAUAGAUAUUGGUAUUUAAAUCGAACGGACUGAAGAUUUUGCUGUUUUGUAUACUACCACUUAUACUAGAGAAUGUUUUAUUUGUUUAACUGGAAAGGCGGUGGUGGCAUGGCGAGGUUGGCUCGCCUUGAAAUAUCAACACUCGAGAGCUGGCUCGCACCUUGUCCUCCUAUCAAUCUCUCAUUGUUAAUUAACAAGCACAUUCCUCAUCCAAUAACGGUAUGCAUCACUCUUCCUCAUCGACUUGUGUAAGUUCACUCGGUUAGUUUUUUUAAUUUUAUUUUUGCCAUUUUACCCUUUUACUGCCUUAUCAAAUACUAAUCAAUGGCCAAAAUUUCUCCUCGAUUGACACAAAUACGGUAACGCCCACGCGCAGUACAUUUUCUUCUCAUUCUGGUGGAGACUCAUUUGCUCUUUUAUCUUCAUGCUUCCUCGAUAAUUCUUCAUAUUCCAAUCUAGGGUCUAAAAGCUUUAUUAAUGAGUCAUCAUGUCAAUACCUUUAAUUAGGCUUAUAACUAUAUGCUAAAGCUUACGAAGAAUAACAACAAAGAAGAACAAAAUCUUUUGAAAUAGUAAUAUUAUGUUUACUUAGUUAGCAUACUUAAUUUGUAUACCACGCAAGUACGCAUAACAUUAUCCUUUUUUAAAUUCAUUAACCAGUGUUACAUAUGGUAAAAAUUGGACUAACAUGCCAUUUUAUUGAUUACAGAGAAACAAAGAAUCUGACUCCAGAAUCUACAUGAAUUGAAUAACCAUUGAAUGAUUACACGAAAGAAUAAAAUAAUUUUUAAGUGUCUUGUUGAUUAUUUUCUCUAGGAGAUUCUGCAUUCUGCAGGAAGGCCCUGAGGAAAUCUCUUUGUAUCAGUGCAGUAAUUGUAAAUCAUGUAAUUCUUCUGCACCCAUUUCAGCCUACUUUGAUUUGUUGAAUCUAGCUCUUGUGAGAACCAAGCACCGUUGCUGGAUGUAGAGGAAGCAGAAUUUGAAGCGCAAGAAGAUUUUCCAUUAGACCAAACACAAGCUUCAGCAUUAAAGUUUCUGUAGGAAGCAGUGAAAGGAGCAUGCGUCCAAUCUGUCUUCACGAGGCCACCUCUUGUGGCCCAGUCAUCAGCAUUCCAAAGAGAAGAGUAUAUUCUCAUUGGCUGAUUCUUUGGGAAUGGAACGCCAAUUGACUCUGAGUUCUUAAAUUCUCUUAUUGGGGUGCCAUCAACAGAGAAGCUGAAAAUUAAGUAAACAUUGAUAAGUCUAAGCAGAUUGAACGACAAGGAAAAAACAAACGAUGGAGAUUGAAGGAAAAUAUUGCUUACAUAAUGCGCUGAGGAUUCCAGAGGAUAGAAUAGGUGUGAAAGUCAGCAGUGGGGUCAAACCAGAGGUGAAAUUGUUGCUCUCUGUCACCUUUGCCAUUUGUAAAUACAUUGGUAUGAAGAGUGUAAGGGUCACCACUUGAAUUUCCCAGGAAUUCAAAGUCUAUCUCAUCCCAUGUUGAUCCCGGUGAUUUUAGCUGCAUUAGAAAAAAAAAAAAGAAGAUAUUUAUAUGUAUCAUCACAUAUGAUUAUUCAACUACGAGCCCUUUUGCAAACAUAAUACUUGCGUAUGAUUAAGUUGUAUUAAAAGGAGGAACUUAC